UAAUACGGGGGGUGCGAGCGUUGUCCGGAAUCACUGGGCGUAAAGGGCGCGUAGGUGGUUUGAUAAGGGUGUGGUGAAAGUCCGGGGCUCAACCCCGGAUCUGCCGUGCCGACUGUCAAACUCGAGGGCUGUAGAGGCAGACGGAAUUCCGGGUGUAGCGGUGGAAUGCGUAGAGAUCCGGAAGAACACCGGUGGCGAAGGCGGCCUGCUGGGCAGUAGCUGACACUGAGGCGCGACAGCGUGGGGAGCAAACAGGAUUAGAUACCCUGGUAGUCCACGCCGUAAACGAUGGGCACUAGGCGCUUGGGGGAGCGACCCCCCGAGGGCCGGCGCUAACGCAUUAAGUGCCCCGCCUGGGGAGUACGGCCGCAAGGCUG
rnacentral:rRNA from 1 species